ACGAGUGGCGAACGGGUGAGUAAUACAUCGGAACGUGUCCGCUCGUGGGGGACAACCAGCCGAAAGGUUGGCUAAUACCGCAUGAGUUCUACGGAAGAAAGAGGGGGACCCGCAAGGGCCUCUCGCGAGCGGAGCGGCCGAUGACUGAUUAGCCAGUUGGUGAGGUAACGGCUCACCAAAGCAACGAUCAGUAGCUGGUCUGAGAGGACGACCAGCCACACUGGGACUGAGACACGGCCCAGACUCCUACGGGAGGCAGCAGUGGGGAAUUUUGGACAAUGGGCGCAAGCCUGAUCCAGCUAUUCCGCGUGUGGGAUGAAGGCCCUCGGGUUGUAAACCACUUUUGUAGAGAACGAAAAGACAUCUUCGAAUAAAGGAUGUUGCUGACGGUACUCUAAGAAUAAGCACCGGCUAACUACGUGCCAGCAGCCGCGGUAAUACGUAGGGUGCGAGCGUUAAUCGGAAUUACUGGGCGUAAAGGGUGCGCAGGCGGUUGAGUAAGACAGAUGUGAAAUCCCCGAGCUUAACUCGGGAAUGGCAUAUGUGACUGCUCGACUAGAGUGUGUCAGAGGGAGGUGGAAUUCCACGUGUAGCAGUGAAAUGCGUAGAUAUGUGGAAGAACACCGAUGGCGAAGGCAGCCUCCUGGGACAUAACUGACGCUCAGGCACGAAAGCGUGGGGAGCAAACA
rnacentral:rRNA from 1 species